rnacentral:tRNA from 1 species
GGAUGUAGUUCAGUGGUAGAACAUUCACCUAGCAUGAGUGAAAGCCUGGGAUCGAGUCCCAGCAGCACA